CGGUGUUUAACUGGCGUGAUGUGGGACGUCCUACCGGUGGGCUUAGCCUCGCGAGGGGCGGCCCAACUAAUAUCCCGUCGCGGUGCUCUUUACUGAGUGUCGAGUCGGGCCGGUACGUUUACUUUGAACAAAUUAGAGUGCUUAAAGCAGGCUAUCCUCGCCUGAAUACUGCGUGCAUGGAAUAAUGGAAUAGGACCUCGGUUCUAUUUUGUUGGUUUUCGGAACCCCGAGGUAAUGAUUAAUAGGGACAGAUGGGGGCAUUCGUAUUGCGACGUUAGAGGUGAAAUUCUUGGAUCGUCGCAAGACGGACAGAAGCGAAAGCAUUUGCCAAAAAUGUUUUCAUUAAUCAAGAACGAAAGUUAGAGGUUCGAAGGCGAUCAGAUACCGCCCUAGUUCUAACCAUAAACGAUGCCAGCUAGCGAUCCGCCGAAGUUCCUCCGAUGACUCGGCGGGCAGCUUCCGGGAAACCAAAGCUUUUGGGUUCCGGGGGAAGUAUGGUUGCAAAGCUGAAACUUAAAGGAAUUGACGGAAGGGCACCACCAGGAGUGGAGCCUGCGGCUUAAUUUGACUCAACACGGGAAACCUCACCAGGCCCAGACACCGGAAGGAUUGACAGAUUGAUAGCUCUUUCUUGAUUCGGUGGGUGGUGGUGCAUGGCCGUUCUUAGUUGGUGGAGCGAUUUGUCUGGUUAAUUCCGAUAACGAACGAGCCUCUAGCCUGCUAAAUAGGCGUACCUUAUGGUAUCGCGAAGGCCCCCGGCUUCGGCCGGUGGGUUUUUACUACCAACGUACAAACAAAUCUUCUUAGAGGGACAGGCGG
rnacentral:rRNA from 1 species